AUGAGUAAAAACAUUUCAUUAUUAAUUAUUAAAAGUGUUAUUAUGCAAAUCCGAUUUAUUUAAUUUCAGAAUGUUUCAUAGCUUACAGAAUUUCCAUAAAUAUCCGUGACACCGAGGAAAGUACUUCAUGGACAUGAAUAGAUUACAAGCUUAUACAGUAUUACAAUUUGUCCAUCUAUGUAAAUUGACCAUCCAAUUGGACAUUGGUAAACUCAAUGAUUUUAAUAAUUCAUUGAAAAACACUGGUUUCUGUUAACAGUGUAAACAAUCGCAUCAAGUCGGUAAAUAUAUGGGAACAAAAUGCCUUUUAUUGACUAUUAAAAUAAAAUAUAUAUUUAUAAUAUUAUAAUAUGAAAA